CUGAAUAUACCGGUUCUCGUUAGAUCACCGAAGUCAAGCAUCAUUGGGCGCGGUCAGUACUUUGGGUGACCACCU